UGUAUCUCUAUUGAAGUAUAUAUUCAUCCUGUGUAGAAGUAACUUAUGUAUAGUGAUUAAUUUCUGGAACAUUCAAAUCAGCAUCAGCCACAAUGUAAAUAUUUAUGACCCCUCAAGUGGAACCCACUGUUUUCAUAAACACCAAAGUUAAACUCACCUAUCUGAUAUAAGAGAAUAGAAAGAGGUAAAGCAGGUUUACAACAUACUAUAUUACACUGUAGUUCCCAAGUAACUUAAUACCCUUGCAGAACAAAUCACAGGUCAGAACACUCCUUCCAGGCGGGUCAUUUGAACAGAAGCAUUGAAAGAUAAUGUUUAUUAGUGCCUAACUGCUUAAAAGUUAUAACUUGAAAAAUUAUGUUUGAGCAUUGGAUAUUAAAAUCAAAUGAGUUUAAACUGGACAAAUUUACAAAAGUUUUCUGAAAAUAUGAACUUUUAAACAUGUGUAUUUCAUGAUUCAGUUAAAAUGGAGGGAACUACAUGUAUAUAUAACCAUUUCUAACAGUUGCAAACUUUCAAGUCUUGGAGUCACAUGAGAUGUUUCCUCUCAAAGGAUAUCAGAUGAGGGAAAAGUGAUAAAUGUACUGUUGAAUACAGAAUGCUUACAGAACUAUCCUGUAUCCAUCAGAGAGGUCACACCACAAGUCAAGAAGAUGUUGCAUCAUGUGAAGUGAAGGAUAUAUACAUGUGUACUAGAUGGAUGUUAAAUUACAUUUGUUUGAAUAAAAUUCUCUGACUUAGAAAUAAUUGUGAAAUGUGCAAAUUACUAUAUGUGUUUGAAUUCUUGACGACUAGAGUGCUUUUUUGGAUUUGCUAAUAAAAACAUAUUAAAUGCAAAUUAAAAGGUCAUUUGAUUUUAGUAUGCAACCAUCAUUUCAGUAAUCCCAAAAUGUUCCAGAGUGAAUUCCAUAGUAUUUCCAGAAUUAUUUCAAGGCUAAUGGCAUCUUACCCCAUAUCCUAUUUUUAACUGCGGAACUUUCUUCACAGCGGCUCCGGAACAUUUUCCAGAGUAACUCCGGAACAUUUUCCAGAGUAACUCCGGAACAUUUUCCAGAGUCACUCUGGAACAUUUUUUCCGGAGUAGAAUGUCAUUUUAGCAGAACAAUUUCCAGAGUUGCUUUGAAGACUCCGGAACAUUUUCAUGGAAAACUCCGGAAAAGUUUUAUGAAAAAAGCUCUGGAAAUUCAUGGAGAAAGUACAUGAAAAUUCGCGAUUUCUUUUUCAGUUUUCUUUGAACAACUCCGGAAAACUAGUCCGAAUUAUCCAGAGUUGGCAAUUUCCAUGAAAAUUCCGGAAGUUUUCAUGGAAAUUCAUGGAAAAUGUACGGACUAAGACCUUAGAUGUUUAGCAUGAAACAUCUUCUAAUGGUUGUCUGCCAAGUUUGUUCAAAUAAAAGCCCUGCCCGAUUUAAACUGGCUCUGCUCCAGGGGCCUAUAUACAGGUGAGCGACUUCGGGCCAUCAUGGCCCUCUUGUUUAAUUUGCAAGUAACGUAAUCAUUUUUUUCUCAGUUACGUCCCUUUUAUGACUUUGAAUUUCAAGGUGAAAUCUUUUGUUGUUUCUCAAAAACUGUCAAAGAUAUUUACUUUAAACAUGGAGUACUUACUCACUUUCAAACUUGAGAUGCAUAAGGGGCAGAUAAUAUUGAAUGCCAUUUUGCUUUGCAUAUAUCAUACUUUAUUGCACUCAACAAUCCUAUCCCUUCAGAGGGUAUUAGAAUGUAAGAUAAAUAAAG